AACGAACGCUGGCGGCAUGCCUAACACAUGCAAGUCGAGCGAGACGUUCGGGUCUAUGGUCGCACGGGGUCGUAACGCGUGGGAAGCGGCACUUAUGGUCGGAAUAACUCCCCGAAAGGGGUGCUAAUACCGAAUAAGGUCUUCUGACCGAAGAUUUAUGGACUUUGUUUGGUCCCGCGUGGGAUUAGCUAUUGGGUAGGGUAAAAGCUUGCUAAGGCGACGAUUCGUAGCUUGGUUCAGAGAAUGAUUAGCCACACUUGGACUGAGACACGGCCCAGACUCCUACGCGAGGCAGCAGUGCGGGACGGUGCAACAUCGGCGGAAGCAUGAUGCAGCACUGACCCGUGAGCGCUGAAGGUAUUAAGGUUGUAAAGCUCAUUUAACCGGGAUCAUAAUGACAGUACCGGGACAAUAAGCUACGGCUAACUCCGUG
rnacentral:rRNA from 1 species